UGUCCCAUUUUCUGGGGAAUGGGCUGUAAAGGGUUUCCAGCCAGAAGAGAGCUGCAGUGGCCGGUAUGUGGCAGCUCAGCCAUGGAAUGCUGACAGCCUGGGGACAAAUGUGACCAGCAGGGAAGCUGCAACCCCCCAUUCCCCACAUCCACCACGUCCCGGGAGGGCUCCACCACCUCAUCCCCACCCCUGUCCCUGUCCCCCCUGGAUUUGGGGGUGCAAAGCAGCACUCACUGAAAGCUGUGAUGGCCGGAGCCGUGGAUCCUGAGGGAGCCGUGGAUCCCGAGGCGUUGGCAGUGCCAGUGGUAUCCUCCAAAAAUUCCUCAGUGAGACAGCCUUCACCACAUUUGGGAACAAAGGUGUGCCCACAAACCCCACAAGACACCGUGUCCCCAGCUGCAGUGUCUCCAAGGUGUUUUUGGGGGAAAACCCAGGACUGACAGACAACUGCUGAUGCAAGAACACAUCCAGCAGGAUCAGCAACCCUGGCAGCAGCCAUGGAUCUCCACAUCCAUCCACAUCACCCCCUGAGGGGCCUCCCCCAUGCCCAGGCAGAAGGAGCAGACAACAAACAGCACCAGGAAAUGCGUCACCUUCUUUAAUUAAAAAUAAAAAUACAGGGGAAUAUGGUUUUCUGUGUGGAUACUGGGAAGCAGCUGCAGGCUCUGCACUCCUCUGCCCCGGGGAGCUCCUGGGAGCCAGGCUCAGCAGCCAGGGCUGUGCAAAUUCACAGGGAACAAUCCCAGAGCUCUCCCUGGCCUCCUCUUCCUCACGCAGAGGUGGCACCAGCACGGAGAGGACAGUCCUUGUAACACCGACUCCACAGAGGGCAGCGGGGAAAGGCAGAGCAGCAGGUGUAUUUACAGAUGGGAAACAUUUCAAACACAGCAUUUCUGCCCCGGGAGCAAAGACAAGGGUUUUCCACCCAAAAGCAACAGUGGAAAACCAUCCAGGAGC